CUACGGGGUGCACCAGUGGGGAAUAUUGGACAAUGGGGGCAACCCUGAUCCAGCCAUGCCGCGUGUGUGAAGAAGGCCUUUUGGUUGUAAAGCACUUUAAGCAGUGAAGAAGACCUAACGGUUAAUACCCGUUAGCGAUGACAUUAGCUGCAGAAUAAGCACCGGCUAACUCUGUGCCAGCAGCCGCGGUAAUACAGAGGGUGCAAGCGUUAAUCGGAAUUACUGGGCGUAAAGCGAGCGUAGGUGGCUUGAUAAGUCAGAUGUGAAAUCCCCGGGCUUAACCUGGGAACUGCAUCUGAUACUGGUAAGCUAGAGUAGGUGAGAGGGAAGUAGAAUUCCAGGUGUAGCGGUGAAAUGCGUAGAGAUCUGGAGGAAUACCGAUGGCGAAGGCAGCUUCCUGGCAUCAUACUGACACUGAGGCUCAAAAGCGUGGGUAGCAAACAGGAUUAGAUACCCCGGUAGUC
rnacentral:rRNA from 1 species